AAAUUGAAGAGUUUGAUCAUGGCUCAGAUUGAACGCUGGCGGCAGGCCUAACACAUGCAAGUCGAGCGGAAACGACACUAACAAUCCUUCGGGUGCGUUAAUGGGCGUCGAGCGGCGGACGGGUGAGUAAUGCCUAGGAAAUUGCCUUGAUGUGGGGGAUAACCAUUGGAAACGAUGGCUAAUACCGCAUAAUGCCUACGGGCCAAAGAGGGGGACCUUCGGGCCUCUCGCGUCAAGAUAUGCCUAGGUGGGAUUAGCUAGUUGGUGAGGUAAUGGCUCACCAAGGCGACGAUCCCUAGCUGGUCUGAGAGGAUGAUCAGCCACACUGGAACUGAGACACGGUCCAGACUCCUACGGGAGGCAGCAGUGGGGAAUAUUGCACAAUGGGCGAAAGCCUGAUGCAGCCAUGCCGCGUGUAUGAAGAAGGCCUUCGGGUUGUAAAGUACUUUCAGU
rnacentral:rRNA from 1 species